CGAACUCUCUCUUUGUCUCUCUAUUUCCCACUCAAAACACUAUUUCUGUGUUUCUUCUGGGGCAAGCUAAUGCUUCUCCACUCAUGGCUAAGAGGGGUAGAAAGCGGCAGCGAAAAGCAGCCACAAUGUGCGAUGCUACUGGAGACAAAGACAAAGCUCCAGAAACCGAUCAGAUAUGUCUAGAUGGUUUCCCAGAAAAUUUUCCUUCCGAGGAGAAUGAUGGGGUUUCUGCGCAGAAAGUGCGAGAAUUUGUUGGAAUAGAAGAGGAAGUUUUAGAAACUGGCCAGAAAGCUCCUGAAAAUAGCGAGGGUUUCCGAGAAAAUUUUCUACCGGUGAAGGGUAAUGGGGCUUCACCGCAGAAAGAGAGAGAAUUUGAAGGAAAAGAAGGUGGGGAAGUUGAAGGGGUUGCUGCGGAGAAGAAGAGAGAGGAAAAUGGGAAAGUUGAGGAAGACGAUGCCGAGCGAGUUCCUCCAGCUAAGAAGCGCGGACGAAAGCCUCGGAACAAGGAGGCUAUCUCGGAAAGUUUGGCUAAAGGUCGAGAAAGCAGGAUGGUUCUUGAUUUGAACAGUCGGCUGAGGACUCCUGUGAGGAAGGUGGUGUACGAUGAUGAUUUGGGGUCUGAGGAAGAUGGAGAAGAUUUGGGGAAAAGUAGGCGAAAAGGCAGAGUUAAAAGGAAAACCCUAGAAAAUCAGGAGCUAGACGCUGAAAAAGGCCGAGAAAAUUGUGAGGAUAACGUGGGAGAUGAAGAAAUGCCUGCUAGUAAAAAUAGGGAAGCAAUAGAAGGCAAAGGAGGUUGGGUUUUGAAAAGUGCUGAAGGGGUUAAAGUUUAUGAGCGGGUUGGAAGGGGCAGGAAAAGAGUGAGAUUUAAUGAAGUUGAUGAUUUGGAAGUGAAUGGAGGUCUUGGAAGUGGUGGUUGUUUGGAUGGAGAAGAUGGAAAUAAUGUCCGCACAAAGGGACCGAAGAAGGGUGUGAAGAGGGGUGGUAGUAGAAAGGGAAAUGUGAAUGCGCUGCGAAACUUGGAAAAUAAUGAAAAUGGAAGGGACAAUUUUGGAGGUUAUUCGCUGAGACAUGUAAAAGUUUAUAGGGAAGAGAAACGAAAGUUAAAUAGGAAUCCAGAAGAGGCUUUAAUGUGUCAUCAAUGUCAGAGGAAUGAUAAGGGCCGGGUUAUUCGUUGUAAAACCUGUAAUAGAAGGCGGUUUUGUGUCCCUUGCAUACAAAACUGGUAUCCUGGGUUACCGGAGGAAUACUUUGCUGAGAGUUGCGCUGUAUGUCGGGGAAAUUGCAAUUGCAAAUCAUGCUUGCGGCUGGAUGUACCAGUUGUUGUAAAAAACCUGAAACUAAAUAUUGAAAAUGAUGAUGAAAUUGAGUACUCUAAAUAUUUGCUUCAAGUGCUUCUUCCAUUUUUGAAAAGACUGAAUGAAGAACAAGCCUUUGAAAGAGAGAUAGAGGCCCGCAGACAAGGGUUAUCUCCUCCAGAGCUAAAGAUACAAAAAUCAGAUUGUCCUUUUGAUGAACGUGUGUAUUGUAACAACUGCAAAACUUCUAUCUUUGAUUAUCACAGAAGCUGUCUGAGUUGCGGUGAAUAUGACCUUUGUCUUGCAUGUUGUCGGGAGAUUAGAGAUGGAAACUUGCAGGGAGGUGGUGAGGACAUUAUCAUGGAGUAUAUUAGCCGAGGCCUAGACUAUUUGCAUGGUGGAAAAGCAAUAAGAACUGACAUUCCUAGUAGCACUAGCUCUGACAAUCAAGUGAACUCUGACAAUCAAGUGAAGUCAAAAUAUGAGUUGAAAGUGAAUGAGGAUGGAAGCUUUCCUUGCCCUCGAAAGGACACAAAUGAAUGUGCUGGUGGUCUUCUAGAAUUAAGAAGCAUCAUUUCAGAAAAUAAGGUCUCAGAGUUGGUAAAGAAAGCUGAAGAAAUAUGCAAACUUAUGGAUGUCUGUGGAACAUCUGUACAGCAGUGUUCGUGUUUUAAUCCUGCAGGUGUUGUUGAUUUAAGCAGUGAUCAGUUGAGGAAAGCAGCUUCUCGAGAAGAUUCUGGUGACAACUAUUUGUACUGUCCUAGGGCCAAAGACAUCCAACAUCAGGAUUUGAAGCAUUUCCAGUGGCAUUGGAUGAGAGGUCAGCCUGUGGUUGUGAGUGAUGUGCUUCAAACGGCAUCUGGUUUAAGUUGGGAACCAUUGGUCAUGUGGCGUGCAUGUCGUCAAAUGCAACACACCAAGCAUGGUAAACACUUGGAUGUGAAGGCUAUUGACUGCUUAGAUUGGUGUGAGGGAGAUAUUAAUAUUCAUCAGUUCUUUGUUGGAUAUACAAAGGGCCGGUAUGAUAAUAAAAAUUGGCCUCAGAUACUGAAAUUAAAGGAUUGGCCCCCAUCUACUUUAUUUGAGGAGCGUUUGCCUCGUCAUGGUGCUGAGUUUAUCUCUUGCUUGCCAUUUAAAGCAUAUACACAUCCUCGUAAUGGUCAACUUAACCUUUCUGUCCACUUGCCCAAAGAAUGUCUAAAGCCAGACAUGGGGCCAAAGACAUAUAUUGCUUAUGGUAUUGCUCAGGAGCUUGGACGUGGGGAUUCUGUGACCAAGCUUCAUUGCGACAUGUCUGAUGCGGUGAAUGUUCUGACACACACUGCUGAGGUCACCCUAACACCUCAAGACCUUGCUAAUAUAGAAAAGCUGAAGAAAAAGCACUUUGAGCAAGACCAAAGAGAAAUUUAUGGAAAUGGUCAAACUGUGGAUGAAGGAUGCAAAGAGAAUCGUUAUGAUGAACCUUGUAGUCUGGCUACAAACAAUCAAAAGCACUAUAGCUGUGAAUUUGGUGAUCCGAACAAUAUUGCAGCUGCUGAAGAACUGGCUGGUCCAACUAUUCAACAGGAUGGAGAUGCUAGUGAUUCUAGUUUUGAUGAUAGACAAAUUUUGAAGGGACUCGAGCCUGUAGUGAAUCAAGAGAAAAGUGGUAAUAAUUGUGAGAUAUCAAUCAACUUUGAAAAUGGGCAGGAACGGUUGCAAGCAGCUGAAGGAGGUGCUCUUUGGGACAUUUUUCGACGAGAGGAUAUUCCAAAGCUGCAGAAGUAUCUUAUGAAGCACUUUAGGGAAUUCAGGCAUACUCAUUGUCGUCCAUUGGAACAGGUUGUUGACCCCAUACAUGAUCAGACCUUUUAUCUGACUCUAGAGCACAAAAGGAAGCUAAAGGAGGAAUAUGGAAUUGAACCAUGGACUUUCAUCCAAAAUCUGGGAGAUGCAGUCCUUAUACCUGCAGGCUGUCCUCAUCAAGUCAGAAACUUGAAGGUGAGUACCAUACUCUUCAAGCCACCUUAUGAAUUGGAAGCGAUUGCUUUGCAUGGUCACACAUAGUCGAGACCUACGUCAAAGGAAAGAGAAGUUGUUCCUUUCAUAGACAUGAACCUAAUAAAAAGACUUGAUAUAUGUGUUUGGAAAGGAGUACUUUACCUCCUUGAAAGAUGUAUUCUUGAUUCUAAGGAGGAGCGAGUGCUGAAGGAAUAUGAUGACAGAACACCGUCUGCGAGAAGGUUUAGCAUUGAUUACUUCUAAACUAGGCAAUAAUGGAGCUAUUGUAGAUUUGAGAGGAACUUCACUUUAUGAACUAGCCAACAAAGGUGGUCUUGGUGCAAUCGUUGUAAAACAUUGAGGCAUAUGAAGGAUCCAUGCUAGAAAUCUCUGGGAAAUCAUAAUUGCCUAGAAAAGGGAAAUGGUGCAAAAAUGAUGAUUUUAGCACCAGGCCCUGAAGCUAGGACUUGUGGAUGAACCUAGGACUCGGGGUUUAUUGCCAAUGGUCAUUGCCAACUGGGUUAUCCUAAAGGAAUUUGAUUGAAAUCGAUGUUUGCCAACUAUUAAAAAGGGUCAUCAUGAUGUCUUUUCCACUAAUGCGCAAAAAAUGGAGGAUUCAUGAAGGAAGAGAUAUCUAGCUACAACAUUUGUUUGCCUCAUUAGAGUAAUUAAUAUGGUGCCUCUUGCUUAAUUGGUUGCCUAGUCUCAACUUGGACAAUUUGCAACAAUAAUACCACAAGCACCAACUUGUUUAUCAAAUUUUCAAGUCUAAUCACAUGGGAAACUUCAUUUUGCUAACAGAAAAAUAGGUCAUCAUGAUAUCAUUUCUGUACCAUUUUUAUCAUGGGUCAUCCUGAUAUCAUUUUCGAGUCCAACCACGUGGGAAACUUCAUUUAGCUAAUGGAAAAAUGGGUCAUCAUGAUAUCAUUUAUGUGCCAAAACAAUGGGAGGAUUCAACAAGGAAGAGAUAGAGAAGCUACAAUGUUUGUUUGCCUCAUUAGAGUACCAUGGUGCUUCUAGCUCACUAGGUUGGCUAUUUUCAUCGUGGACAAUUUGCAGCUAUAAUAUUUCAUGCAUUAAGGUUGCUCUUGACUUCGUCUCACCUGAAAAUGUUGGUGAUUGCAUUCAUUUGACGGAAGAAUUCCGAAAGCUUCCUCCAAAUCAUAGGUCUAACGAGGACAAAUUGGAG